UCGCAAACUACAACACGACUGAUUGAUUCAUAUUUAUCUCAAGUUUUCUCUUGGUUCAAACAACAAGAUCGACAAUAAAAGACAGCUAAGAUUCAAUGAAAAAUAUGUAUUGCACUUGGUAAGAAUGAGAACCAAGUCUGAUCCAGAAUCCCCCCACCCCUCUGUUUUGCACAGCGGCAUCUGCAGAAUCAUACUGGUAUUAUUAGAGCAUUUAAACAGCUUAUUCAUGCGAGUGGUGCAAGUGGCCUAGUUAUUGACAGGGAAACGAGCCCAGACCACUCAGAAGAAUCUUGACCUGGAUUUCAAGUCAUCAGAAAUAUUACACCACCUGGCUGUCUCUCCUCAAAACUGUUAGCACUUAAUUACACUGUUCUGUUCAUAUCUCCACCACAGUUCAGUUUACAUCCCUCAGCUCCACUACAGACUCCAUCUUAUUUCACAUUCAUUCUCAUCAGUACGGUUUGAGUAGGAUUUGGUUUGAGUGUUUUAAUCUGGAGACACUGUAGUAGUAGCAGCAAAAUGUUGUAUUGUCUUUGUGGUAGAAAACACACCAUUUUGUUGUGUUGUUCAUUUCUAGGUUUCACCAUUCCCUUCCAGUGGCUCUACGUCCCUACUCCCUACGUCACACACAUUGCAUGUUUACAACAUGUCUAUGGUACCGAGAGGGGGAUUCUCAAAUGAUCCGCCAGUAGAGAAAGACAAAAGAAAUGGGAAGCACUUGGAGAGAGAAUGAGAGGGAGAUGAUGAGUAACGUGAGGAGGUCGUGGGGAACAGAAGACAGGACAGAAAGAGAGAUUAAAAAGGAGAGGAUGAGUAACGUGAGGAGGUCGUGGGGAACAGAAGACAGGACAGAAAGAGAGAGUAAAAAGGAGAGGAUGAGUAACGUGAGGAGGUCGUGGGGAACAGAAGACAGGACAGAAAGAGAGAGUAAAAAGGAGAGGAUGAGUAACGUGAGGAGGUCGUGGGGAACAGAAGACAGGACAGAAAGAGAGAGUAAAAAGGAGAGGAUGAGUAACGUGAGGAGGUCGUGGGGAACAGAAGACAGGACAGAAAGAGAGAGUAAAAAGGAGAGGAUGAGUAA